GGUCGCGGCCUACGUCAUCACUGGUCAGAGGCCAAGGUUAUGCGUCACUGAUUGAUGCGUGUGUACGUAACCACUCAGUCCACUGUGUUGCUGUGUAGUUUACAUAGACAGAAAGAUUUCUUUUGAAACAAAUAGAAUCUUCAUCUAAAUAUGAUUUAGACUUUUCAAAAUAUUCAUCAUGGAUUAAAACUCUAGAUCUACAAUGGUGAACAAAUGUCUCGUUUUGUAAAGGAUCUAGAUCUAGCACUACUAGAUCUAGUAACUAGCAGAUAUGCUUUCCGAUUACCAAAAGAUGAUGAAUGGUGGCUUAGAAAGAAAAAAUGGCCAGCGGUAAUACCUUUGGCUUAGUAGAAGGAUUAGAUCUACGUACCAUUAAAGGAGUACUCUAAAAUCUGCCAUUAACAUUUUCAAGACGAAGUAUCAUGGACAGUAUUGAAGGAUUACGUACUAUAAAGGAAUACUCUAAAAUCUGCCGUUAACAUUUUGAAGACGAUGAAGUAUUGUGGACUAGCUACUACACAUGAAAGAGUAGAGAGUGCAUUAAAAAAAGUGUUAAGUCUCAGGAAGUCGCAGGAUGGCUGCCUGGUCUUGUGGUUUGCGCGCUGGACUGUCGUUUGGAUUUAUCGAUGUCUCUGGUUCAAACCCUGCCCGCUCCCAUCCCCUGUCGUCAA